GGUGAGGUGGCCGAGAGGCUGAAGGCGCUCCCCUGCUAAGGGAGUAUACGGUUUAUAGCCGUAUCAGAGGUUCGAAUCCUCUCGAGCGCGCCAC
rnacentral:tRNA from 1 species